AUUCUGUUGCACAAAAGUUUCAACUCAGCGGUUGUUGAAGCAGGGGGAUAUGAAAACAUGACGUGUGUGGAAAGGGACUGUCACAAUUAUAUUGAGCAGGUGAGACGAUUACAACUAGGGGAGGGAGAUGCAACCGCAAUACAGUGUUAUUUUUAAAAAAUGCAAGCACAAUGUUAGGGUUUUUAUUUCAGUAUUGAUGUGGAUGAUGAGUCUCGCCUGAAAAAUGUGUUUUGGUCUGAUAAUAGCUGUAGGCAAGCUUACAUGGAGUUUGGUGACGUAGUCACAUUUGACACCACUUAUCUGACGAAUAAGUAUGACAUGCCGUUCGCGCCCUUUGUUGGUGUGAAUCAUCACGGUCAAUCAACAUUGUUCGGUUGUGGGUUGUUAUUAAACGAGGACACAUAUACAUUUGUCUAGCUAUUUAGAACGUGGCUUCAGUGCAUGCACGGUAGAGCCCCCCAUGGAAUAAUUAUUGAUCAAGAUAGGGCUAUGCAAAAUGCUAUUGAGAUCGUGUUCCCAGAUACCAGGCAUAGGUGGUGUCUAUGGCACAUUUUGAAAAAGUUGUCGGACAAGUUCGGAUACCAUGUAAAUAAGGCUGCAAUAUUUUCGAUGAUACAUCAGUUGGUAUAUGAUUCAUAGAAUAUAUAAGAAUUUGAAUCAACUUGGAAACAGAUGAUUGAGAAAUAUGACUUGAUGGAUAACGAAUGGUUGUCGGGGUUAUAUGUUAAUAGAGCUCGUUGGGUUCCUUGCUUUUUGAAAACCACGUUUUGGGUAGAGAUGUCCAUAACUCAACGCAGCGAGAGUAUGAAUGCAUUUUUCGAUGGUUAUGUCCAUUCUAAGAUCUCGCUGAAGCAAUUUGUAGAACAGUACGAACGAGCGCUCAGGGAUAAGGUCGAAAAGGAGUUUCAGGCAGAUCUUAGGUCAUACUCACAAACUAUAACGUGUGCAACAAACUACGAAAUCGAAAAGCAUUUUCAGUAGGUUUAUACCAUUUCCAAGUUCAGGGAAGUCUAGGAUGAAUUCAAGGGUAAGGUAUACUGUGAUCUCAUAUCUGCUUCUGAGGGACCUCAUGGGACCACGUAUGCGGUGCGUGAGGACGUCCUUUAUGGUGAGCAGAGGAAGAAGAAAAUGUUCUCUGUCUCAUUCCAGAGAGAGACAGCUGAAUUCGUAUGCAGUUGUCACUUGUUCGAGUUCCGAGGUAUUGUUUGCAGACAUGCGAUCGUGAUAUUGAUUCGUAAUGACGUCACGCAGUUGUCCGAGCAUUAUACACUACGGCGGUGGAGGAGGGACGUUAGCAGGAGUUACACAAGGGUUGCGGUGAAUUAUGAUGGUCAGGUCAAUUUUCCUAGAGAGUUGAGGUAUGAUAGUAUGUGCAAAGCUUUUGCAGAGGUAGCUGACCUUGCGGCAGAGGACCAGGGCCGGACACGUGCAAUAUUAGACUGGAUAAAAUUGCAAGCAAAGGAGCUUAUGACAAGAAAUUCCUGUGAUGCAAGCAAUAGCGUGAUGCAACAAACUAUACCGUUAUCCUCUCAGUAUACGCCAUCCCAAACUACUAUGAACGACGUCAUACUAGACCCAAACGUUGCAAAGAGGAAGGGAGCACCCCGAAGACUUUGAAAAAAAAAGUCCGUUAGAGUUGAUGUCCAAGAAACCAUGGGUUUGUUCAUCGUUUUCCAUCACUAUUUGUCAAAAGUUGUGAAUUUGUAUUGCAAUUUAAUUAUCUUUUGCAUGUAGGCAUCUUCGACAUCAAGCAAAGGAAAGAGACCAAGACCAAGGUACGGUAAUGAGGAAAAGGUUGCAUCUGAAUUUGUAGCUUCGCAAGAACAAUACUCGUCACAGACACCGUUCUCCUAUUCACAACUAUUGCUGGUAAGUAUCGUCAUAUAGUUCAACUAUUUGUUGUAGGUGUUAGUUAAGGUCUUUUUUUUUUAUUUUUUAUUUUUUAUUUUUUUUUACGUAGGGCGACGCUGAAAUGUAUGCAUGUACAUGACCAUUGACAACAUCCGAUGUUAUCCCACCAAGUGUCAUAUUCGGUCCACAAGGUAAGGCCAAGGAUAAUUCAUGACAUUUGUAUAAAAUUUCUUAUAAUAGGUGGAUAGUUUUUGUAUUGUUGAACAGGUCAUCCGUUUCCCUACUAUUACACACAUAUGCCGCCACAAGGUGGUCCAACCAUAUGAAUUUCAGAAAGGUUCAGUAGUUAUUUUGCGGUAGGAGGAGUAAUGUUAUUUAUGUGUAAGCCUUCCAUUUUGUCCCCACUUCAUUGUUUAAUAAUUUAGUGUAAUUGAAUGUGCAGCCGGUGAAAUGCCCCAUUACUGUCUGUGGUGGUGAUUUUGAAGGGAGGUUUUGGGAAGAUGUGAUUACUCAUAAUCUACUUCCUUUUUUGGAUUUUGGAUGUAAGGGAACCUAACUUAGCUAUCUAAAGCUGGGUGAACAGGUAUUAAAUGUAUGCUUAAAUUGGUUUUUUUGAGAUCUGCUGCUUCAAUUUGGACCAUAACAUGAAUGAAAUCUAAUUUGGUAGCUAUAUGUUUAAUACUCCUUUGCUAGGAAAUUUGUUAUUCAGGUUCUGUGGCACUUCAUUUUUUAAGAGAAUUUGAGAAUUAUAAUGCAGUCAUUAUGGUCUAAUCUUUUAAGUUCUUACAGUAGCUAAGGAUAUCUUAAGCAGAAAUCUUCACACAAUAAGCGUAACCAACAAUUUUCACCAGGAUAAUCUACUUGGACGAGGAGGAUUUGGGCCAGUCUUCUUGGUAAUAAAAAUAUAAAUCUAUUUUGCAUCUUCAUUAUGUAAUCAUCAUUUCAAAAAUUUCUUAGAAUUGAGGACAAGAUCUGUAUGGAGCCUUGGCCUUAUUGUGUAUGAUGUAAACAAACUGUGUUAAUAUUGCAUUGACUUUGUCUUCCUUCUUUUCAUUGGGAAAAUUAGAAGACGAGAGACUAGUCGCUGUAAAGAAACUAUAUGUUGACAAAUCACACCAAACAGAAUCAGAAUUCCUAGUAGAGGUGAGGAUCAUCACCAGUAUACAACACAAGAACCUAGUCCGCCUUCUAGGGUGUUGCUCCGAUGUAAUAAUUCUCAGUUUAAGAUGUGGUAAUUGAUUUCUUUAUAUGGUUUCAUGGCCGGAUCAGUUGUGUAUUUAAAUUCUCUGAUGUGUAUUUAAAACUACAUCAUGAAUUGCUUAUUUUGGACAGAGAUCGAGACUAGUUGGGUUCGAUGUCUCUUUGAAUUAUCUAUCCACGG
rnacentral:lncRNA from 1 species